rnacentral:rRNA from 1 species
UACAGAGGUCUCAAGCGUUGUUCGGAUUCAUUGGGCGUAAAGGGUGCGUAGGCGGCGCGGUAAGUCGGGUGUGAAAUCUCGGAGCUUAACUCCGAAACUGCAUUCGAUACUGCCGUGCUUGAGGACUGGAGAGGAGACUGGAAUUUACGGUGUAGCGGUGAGAUGCGUAGAUAUCAGGAGGAACACCAGCGGCGAAGGCGGCGCUCUGGGCCGGUACUGACGCUGAGGAGCGAAAGCGUGGGUAGCAAACAGG